UCAUAUCCCUUGCAUGCGUAGCGUUAACAUUCUCAAAGAUUGAUCUGAAGGUCUUUCUUUGGUUGUAACUUGGUUUUUGGAUAGAGUUAGGAAGAAAGGAUGGCAUGAAGCCCAAACAACACUUGAAGUGGGGUAGGACUUAAAACUUUUGGAAUCGACUCAAACAAUGAGGAUUAACCCAUGUCCCAGUUUCUUUGGCUAGG
rnacentral:lncRNA from 1 species